rnacentral:rRNA from 1 species
CAAUAGCGUAUAUUAAAGUUGUUGCGGUUAAAAAGCUCGUAGUUGGAUUUCUGCCGAGGACGACCGGUCCGCCCUCUGGGUGAGCAUCUGGAUCGGCCUGGGCAUCCUCUUGGGGAACGUAGCUGCACUUGACUGUGUGGUGCGGUAUCCAGGACUUUUACUUUGAGGAAAUUAGAGUGUUUCAAGCAGGCACACGCCUUGAAUACAUUAGCAUGGAAUAAUAAGAUAGGACCUUGGUUCUAUUUUGUUGGUUUCUAGAGCUGAGGUAAUGAUUAAUAGGGAUAGUUGGGGGCAUUCGUAUUACGGUGUUAGAGGUGAAAUUCUUGGAUCGCCGUAAGACGAACUACUGCGAAAGCAUUUGCCAAGAAUGUUUUCAUUAAUCAAGAACGAAAGUCAGAGGUUCGAAGAUGAUCAGAUACCAU